ACGUUUAAGCGUGGUGGGUGUCUGUCCUGUUAGAUAAGACCUGACCCCGCUUCGCUUCAAACUCUUCAAAACAAGAGGAAGGGCGGGUUGAAAAUUGUGAGAUUCCAACCUUUUUUUUUUUUUGCACAAACGGAGCAAGAACGUAAUGUAAGCGUCUGUAAUGCACUGGCAUUCGGUGCAGUGAUACAAGUUCGAUGCUAUAGGCUAUACAACUAUAUACAAAGUUUGCUGAAAUAUCCACAAAAUAAACAAAAACACGGGAAUAGCGCGCAGUUAAUCUGACGAGAUGCAAUUUGCGUUCUUUUUUAAUUCAAUGCCACCAGAGCACCCAGGGCCGCUGCUGGCCAAAUAGGGUGCCCUAAGCAGAAUUGUAUUGUUGUGCCCCCUCCCCCAAAUAUUAUGGAUGUAAAAAAAAAAAAAAAAAAACACCUAUACGUGGUAAAAUAGAACUUUAAUAAAAUAUAAAAGUAAAUAAAUAAAUAAAAUAAAUUGUAACUAAACUAUUAUUUACAAAUUACAAUUGUAACUCUAGACAGUUAUGGCUAUUAUUUUAUUAAUACAGUUGUCUGAUUGAUUUUAUAGUCUCAAGCAUUCAAAAAUCAUGCAAAAAUUAAGCAGUUUUACCAUAAAACCUUGGUUAAUUUUUGUAAGGGUUGUGUUGUUCACAUGUUUUUGUUGAAUAAAUUAUAGAGGCUGUAGCAUUUCUAUCGUAAAAAGGUGGCCGACAAUUAAAGAUUAAGUGGAUAUUUGAAUUAGCCUAAAUGUUUGGUCAAUAUAACUGUCACGGGACGGUCGAGAGAUGAGGCGAGGACUCAAGUGCAGGAGAAAGUGGGUCUUUUAAUAAUAAAGAGCAACAAAAAAUGAACAAAAACCACCCCGAAGGGGAAAAACAGGCAGGCAGGCAGAGAACCACAGCACAAGUAAACAAACUCACACACGACAUGAAACAUCCGACAUUAAACAACAAAACAGCACAGUACUGCAGACACCAGGAGACUAUAUGGGGAGCCAAACGAGGAGGACACAGGUGAAGUAACUGAAACAAUAAUGAGAUAACAAGGAGGGCCCAUGGCACCAACAACAAACAACAAGCCAUGUGCUAACACACACAGUGAAAUCUGGUGGCCAACCAGGGCACCAGCAGGGCCGUGACAAUAACAAGGACUUGAUCGUCCUCUAACUGUAACAUCAGCAAUUACCAGGCCUUUGGUUCUGUUUAGAGGCAUUUGUAAUAAUAUGUAAUGUACAUGAAUUGUUUAUUUUGUAUUACAUUAUGUAUUUUAACAGUGUUAUUCAAUGAAACCAUAUAAUUAUUAAUUAACCAAUCAUUAUUGCCUCAUUGUUUUAUAGCCUAUAAUGCAUUUUAAGUAAUUUUAAAGGCUGUUGUUGGCUUAGAUCUGUUUUUAUAACCACAAAAAAAUAUUGUCUUAAUACUAUCUUAAUUCUUUGUAAACUAUUAAGUAGCCUAACAAAACCAUGGUUAAUUGUGGAUAGGCCUACCGUCCAUGGCUACAAGAACUAUGAUUUUUGGUUUUAUUCGUAGUAAAACCAUAAUUUUCGUAAGGGAACAUGGAAAGUCAGAGAGAAUACUAGCGUUGUUGGUGGUUAAAUUAUUACCGACAUUAAAACACGUUAUUAACGUCAACAUAAAAAAAAUAAAAUAAAAAAAGUUUCACUGGAUUAUGAAUGUUAAUGUACCUGAAAGUGAUGCAAGGGUCUCAUCUUUUUUUUUUUUUUUUUUUUGCUUUUCUCUGUGCCGAACUGCUAAUGUCUUUUUACAGGCGUAGUUGUCUAUCAAUUAUGAUAAUUUACCUUCAGCCGCAAACAUAGUGCGAGCAGUCGCGUGCUCGGAUGUGGCGCACCACAUGUUUAGCCUGUCUACUGCCUAAAUGCAUUUUUUAUCAUUAUAUAUAUGUAUUCAUGUUUAGAUUUUUAUUUAUGUAUAUGUUAACAUAUAACAUAUAAACGAAUUUUUUUUUUAUUAAUUUUUUUUUUUUUGAGCAAAUUCGAUUGUGCACCCCUGGGACUUUGUGCCCUAAGCAAACUGCGUACUCUGCCUACAGACCAAUUUCCUGUUAGUAAACAUUGUGACGUUUUUCUGUGGGCGGAGCUUCGGUGGUGGCAGAAAGUUCCCCCCUGACCGCUAACGCCAGAGCCAUAGAGUGGCUGUAUCCGAAAUCGCUCCCUAUACCCUCAUUCACUAUUCCCUACAUUAGUCCACUCAUACAGUUCACUUGAAGGAGUGAAUGAAAACGAGUGAGUGAAUUCGGACACUCGGAGCACCGGAAGGACUGCCGCUUUUGCAUAGUUUGCUUGCUGUUUAAUAAUCAUUUUAAAUGGGCAGCUCCAGUAGUAAGAUUGAACUCUGUCAUGGAAAUUAUGUAUAAACCUUAAUAGUCAAUUUGCAAUUAGUUUGUACCUUUGUUGUAUUACGCUGUAUUACGCCGUGGACGAGCGCUUCUAAAAUAAAUGAAUGGAUGAUUCAGCUGCGGCCCCAUCUUCUGGCGAGACGCGGGAAUUCAUUCGGCGCGCGACUCUCACAGUGCAUUAUGGGUUAUCUCUAGCCGUUGAGUGUACAUCGGUUGCACACUCGUUUUUGCGGUGCAUUGUGGGAUUGAAUGAGUGCACUCGAGAACAUCCACUAUGGUUUCGCCAUAGUGGGCGAUUUCGGAUACAGCCACAGACAUAGGCGUAAAUCCCGGGGGGGACGGGGGGACAGGACCCCCCCAUCUGAGGCUUGUCCCCCCUAAAAAUAUCAUUACAAGCGACUCUGUGUAUUGAAAAUAAUACAAUGGACAUAUACUUAAAAUAAUUGUUUGAUUAGUAAAACAAAAUAAACGCAAAAAAACGUUUUAAGUUCACAAAUGUUUAGAUUCCCCCCCUCCCUUUCCUCACAGUGGUUUGGUCCACUGCCUGCUUUCCUUCUUUACCGCUGCACACGAGUCCGGUGAGAGAGAGCUAGGUAGUUAUGUGUAAGUAGGCUGUCAAGGCUAUUUUAUUCUCUUUAAACAUCGGGUGAAAUGAUUCUUUCUCUUUAAUACAGAUGAUGCUGGAUCAUUAAUAAAUUAGUCAUGACAAAAAAAUUAUGACAUCCGAUGUAUUUUCUAUGAGCCAUUAUAAGGUUAACAAGCUUAAUAUGUAGCUUGUCUCCCACUACAACUAACACGGCGAUAAGCCUGUGUGUGAACUGAUGGUCUACUAUAUUAGCCUUACGUGUUGGGUUUCGCUCAAUAUGAUGUUAAGUGGCAGAUCAGUGGGUUUAAUGCGGUUGAAUUAAUGCGAAUGAGACAUAGGUUUCAGACGAAACCUAAAAUACUAUGGAUGACGCAAAAUAAUAAUUAUAAUAUGACCGCGUGGUGAACCAUGAACUCAUAUUUAAACACGGUCUCCAUGCUAUGUACACAUAUCUAUCCUUUCAAGUACAAUUUUGGCUGUAUUAUUUGUGUCCCCUUCAAAAAUUGCUCUUGAGAAAUUUUACGUUUAUUGUCCCCCCCCCCUACUGUCAGAUGAAAUUUACCCCUGGCCACAGAGUUGCGACAACGGAAGUUCAAAACUCUCGAUCGUCACGUGAUUCACGUAGCCCUCAAUAGUUCCAGGAAGUUAAUAGCGGGCAAUUGGAAUGCAUUGAGUUAGAGAGACAGAACUGCGAUUUUUGGUAAUUAGUAGGCAAUAAAAUAAUUUAUACGUAGUAUAUGUAGCUGUAUCAGUGUUGCUUUUAAAAGAUAAAAUCCGCGAAUAUUUGAGGAUUAAUGUGGUCAGCUAUCCUAAUACCUGCCAUGUUAACAUAUUUUAGGUUGAUGUUACCAUGGUAAAAGUCCAUGUUUGCUAUAUAAACGACAUCGUGGUCUUUUACCAAGGUAACUUCAGCCUCUCUGUAUAAAGACAAUUAUGUGUGUGUGUGUGUUUUCAAACAAUUUGUAUUUUAGUCAAGUGCAAUCACAUAUUAAUGUUCAUUGUCGUUUUAUUAAUCUCAUGGUAAAUGUUAAGUUUGUUGUCUUUGAAAAUUCAUUCCAAAUAGCCUAAGUGAAGAUAUUUUAAGACUAAGUUGGAAUUAAUCUCUUUUAAUGUUUUUGUUUCUUUGAUAUAUAUAAAUAUAUAUGUGUAGUAUAUUCAAAUUUAGAAUAACUUAAAAUAUUUGUACCCAUUUAAUCAUAUAUUUUUAUGUAAGUUAACUUUUGUUAUGCACUUAUUUACAUGCUAUAAAGCAUGUUGUCCUUGAACAGUCUCCACUAUAGUUUGCUGUGCUGCAUGGGAGCGCUCCAGUUACUCACAGAAAGGAGUGUGAAUGUAUGGUUGCCUUACUGACACGGAGAGGAGAGAAAAUGAUGCAUCAAGUUUUGUUCAAUUCACAUUUAUUUGUAUAAAUACUGUAUAAAUUUGUAUAAGCACUUUUUAUUAUAAACAUUGUUUCUAAGCAGCUUUACAGAAAAUGAAUGUUUCUACAAUACAAAUAAGAGUUCUGUUAACAGGUGUAACUGUGUCAAAGUAAUGCUCAUAUGGCAGAAUUUUUUUUAAAAUUAGGCUAUACAAAUCAUGCAGUUAAGUAAUGUCAUGUAUUCAGAAACAAUGAACAAAUUAAAUUAAAGCAAUGGUUACAUGAUUUGAUAUUGAUUACAAUGAAAGGAAAAUUGAUCAGUUUUGUAUGUUUAUUCAGAGUCAGCUUAAUCUGAAGUCCUCUCAAGGGCUGGCGUCAUCUCUUCACAGGUGCUGGUCAUCUGAAGUCUUCAUAAGAUGCUGGAUAUAGUCAGCAGGAGCAAUCUAUAGAUUACACCAACAAAAUGUGAUGUAAUCAUACUUGGGAACUGGCACCUUUUCACAAAGAACAGGGAAAGACUUGCCAAACCCAGUGAAGACUCAUUGUGAGGGUGAUAUCUCAUUACAGGGAGUCUUCAGCUGGUUCUUGUUCUGAUCCAGAUAGAGAAGGAGAAAAACACAGGAGGAAUGGUUAAGUGAUGCUCCAUCACAUUUCAGUCCUGUGGCAUCUGCUCAUUCAACUCAGUGCUUCUACAGUAGCUAAGACAUUUAAGUAUAAAAUACAGUACAGGUUUAUUGUGAUUACUUCUAUAAAAUAGUAGUGGUAGGCCUAAUACAUUUUUGGAAAUUUAGCCUAUAGCAUGAUUGUGAAAUGAAAACUGCUCGCCUAUUUUAAACUUUUUUAUUCUCACUCAGGUCCAUCAGCAUCCUUUGCAAUAAAUCUAAAUCUAUUAAAUAACUUCCCAGCAGCAGAAAUCGCGUUUAAAAGCCUUAAUUACACAACAACGAAUGAAACUGCCUGAAGAGAAUGAAUAACAUCCCGUAAAUCUACUAAUUAACAAGCACACUCGGGCGAUUCUGGCUGAAAUGCGGCACUGUCGGCUCAGUCACGACGUCGGUGAGAAGAUAAUGGGCCAGAGCCGCGCCGACUCUACAAAACACUUCUGGCUGACAGACGGCUUUUUCUCUCUGGGCCGAUCUCGGCUGAAAGCUGUUGUACGUGCAGCAGGUCCACACUCGGUGUAGUUGCGUGUAUCUACCUUCGGCCCGAGCUGGUUUUGUCUCCGGCGGCCGCUGCUGGAAUGAAGAUCAGCCGCUGAGAGAGAGAUUUGGCGGUUAAUCCUGAGGAGAUUUCAGCGGACACAGUUCUCAAGAGGAAUACUUCAGCUGCAAAAAGAAAUUCUGAGCUGCUGCAUGAACAUUCAUCAAACAUAUAAGGCUGCAAUUUGGAAAAACCUUCAAGCUAAUGCUGCUGAAAUGGAGGUCAAGGGGACUGAAGAGGUGGCUCCAGCUGAUCAAAAGGGUGGACUUCAGGAGGCAGACACACUCUUAAUCCGCUGAUCCAGUCGGUAUCCAGACCAGGUGGUGGACCUGCACCCAGGAACAACCACAACACAUCCCUGACUGUCAGCGGAGACCAUGUCAGCUAGAUGACAGAUCCCUGUGAAGACCUCAUUGAUGGCCCCAGCA